UACGAAGGGGGCUAGCGUUGUUCGGAAUUACUGGGCGUAAAGCGCAUGCAGGCGGAUCGCUAAGUCAGGGGUGAAAGCCCGAGGCUCAACCUCGGAACUGCCUUUGAUACUGGCGACUCUUGAGUCCGGGAGAGGUGAGUGGAACUCCGAGUGUAGAGGUGAAAUUCGUAGAUAUUCGGAAGAACACCAGUGGCGAAGGCGGCUCACUGGCCCGGUACUGACGCUGAGAUGCGAAAGCGUGGGGAGCAAACAGG
rnacentral:rRNA from 1 species